CUGGGGAGCAGUCAGCUGCGUCCCAGUAGCUGGCUGGGGAGGUGGGACAUGCUGGGGACACGGGAGGGCUUGGGGACAGGUUGGGGACGUGGUGGCACUUGUCCCAGCGCCUGGCACAGGAGGUGACACGGCAGCGGGGACGGGCAGAGGCAGCUGAGGAGGCACUGAGAGGACUGGCCCAGGCGGCUGCCAGGCUGGCCAGGGUGGUGACAGCCCGCGAGGCCGAGGUGACAGCAGCCACCAGCGCCAUGGUCACCCUCAGCGCCCGUCUGCGCCGCGCAGGACAGCGGCUCCGUGUCCUGAGGGCCCGGUGGCCAAAGUGACAGGCAGUGUCCAUCCGCUGGCGGGGACGAUGGCCGGUGUCUGGCGCAGCGGUGAGUGGGGACACCCUUGGUGGGGAGGACACCAGGGAGGGGACAGAAGGAGCCACCAGGGGACACUGGGGACACAAUGGGGACCCAGUGUCCACCCUGUGCCCCUGUGGGUGCCUUGUCCCCACCGCGAACUGUCCCUGUCCCUGCAGUGGUGGCCUCGGGGGUGGCUGAGGAGGUGACACACAGCCCGGUGACAAAGGACGAGGUGACAUGGGACGAGGUGAGGGGGGUUGGGGACAUGGGUGGGGAUGCUGGGGACACAGGGAAGGGACGUGGGGCACCUGGAGCCAUGGGGAGGUGGCACAAGGAAGGGGUGACAAGAGGGGACACAGGGAGGAGGUGAUAAGGGGGGACUCCGGGCUGGGUGGAGGGGCACUCGGGGACAGGGGUGGCUGCUGUCCCCAUGUCACCCUUUGUGUCACCCCCAGGUCACUUCCUGUGAGGACAGGAUGGGGCACCCCCCCAGCAGAGAGGCGUUGGGGUCCCUCGUGAUGCAGCUACAGGCCCUGGGCGCCGCCAUCCUCGGGGACGAUGGGGACAGCAGGGACCCCCCCUGACCCCACUGUGGACCCGGCCAUCCAGGUGAGUCACCCCCCACCGCCCCAGCCAGUGGGAAGGGGACCAGUUUGGCCCAGUUUGGCACUGGUGUGACCCACGUGUCACUUUCCAGGGUAAUAUUUGGCAGG
rnacentral:lncRNA from 1 species